rnacentral:tRNA from 1 species
UCCUCUUUAGCUCAGUCGGUAGAGCACUCGGCUGUUAACCGAGUUGUCGUUGGUUCGAGUCCAACAAGGGGAGCCA